GUAGGGAGCGAGCGUUAUCCGGAUUCAUUGGGCGUAAAGCGCGCGUAGGCGGCCCGUCAAGCGGGGUUUCAAAUCCAGGGGCUCAACCUCUGGCCGGAUCCCGAACUGGGAGGCUCGAGUUCGGUAGAGGCAGGCGGAAUUCCCGGUGUAGCGGUGGAAUGCGCAGAUAUCGGGAAGAACACCGAUGGCGAAGGCAGCCUGCUGGGCCGCAACUGACGCUGAGGCGCGAAAGCUAGGGGAGCGAACAGGAUUAGAUACCCUGGUAGUCCUAGCCGUAAACGAUGGAUACUAGGUGUGGGGGGCUCCGCCCUCCGUGCCGCAGCCAACGCAUUAAG
rnacentral:rRNA from 1 species